rnacentral:rRNA from 1 species
CCUACGGGUGGCUGCAGUCGAGAAUUUUUCACAAUGGGGGAAACCCUGAUGGAGCGACGCCGCGUGGAGGACGAAGGUCUUCGGAUUGUAAACUCCUGUCAUGCGGGAACAAGAAAGUGAUAGUACCGCAAGAGGAAGAGACGGCUAACUCUGUGCCAGCAGCCGCGGUAAUACAGAGGUCUCAAGCGUUGUUCGGAUUCAUUGGGCGUAAAGGGUGCGCAGGCGGCGUGGAAAGUUGAGUGUGAAAUCCCGGGGCUUAACCCCGGAACUGCACUCAAUACUCCCAUGCUAGAGGAAUGUAGAGGAGAGUGGAAUUCACGGUGUAGCAGUGAAAUGCGUAGAUAUCGUGAGGAAGACCAGUUGCGAAGGCGACUCUCUGGGCAUUUCCUGACGCUCAUGCACGAAGGCCAGGGGAGCAAACGGGAUUAGAUACCCUUGUAGUC